rnacentral:lncRNA from 1 species
UUGAAGUUGACAUCAAAUAAAAUAUUUCAAAAAAGCUGUCAUUUAUGUUUAAAGCUGAAUAUUUAAAGAAGAUUUUAGUUUUGUUCAAUUGGUAUCAGAUGACUUAUUAUUUGCCUUGUAUUACAUUGAUCUACUUCUUAGUAAAAAUGGAAAGAUAUUUUUGUUUCAAAUCUGAUUUUGUGAAGCUAUAUUCUUGAUAAUAUAUUAUUUGAGAUAAAUUCAAGAAAUUAAUAUCUUUUCUAAAAUUAAUAGCUUAAUAGCUUUUGUGAAAAGGAUG